rnacentral:rRNA from 1 species
GGCCUAUUGAAUAUAAUUUUAGGUCGAUCUGCCCAAUGAUUUAAAAUUUAAUGGCUGCGGUAUUUUGACUGUACAAAGGUAGCAUAAUCAAUUGUUUUUUAAUUGGAAACUGGAAUGAAAGAAUUAAUGAGAUAUAUACUGUCUCAUAUAUAAUAAAUGAAUUUAAAUUUUUAGUUAAAAUGCUUAAAUUAUUUUAUGGGACGAUAAGACCCUAUAGAAUUUUAUAUUAAUAUAAAUAGUUAUGUUUAUAAAAUUUUUAUAUUAAUAUUUAGUUGGGAGGAUUAGUAAAUUUAAGAAACUUUACUUUAAAUUUAAACUUUGAUUUAAGAAUUUUUUUGAUCUUGUAUUAUAAAAAUAAGAGUAAAUUACCUUAGGGAUAACAGCGUAAUAUCUUUUUAAAGGUCAUAUUAAUAAAGAUGAUUGCGACCUCGAUGUUGAAUUAAGAUAAAUUUUAGAUGGAGAAGUCUAAAAAUUAAGUCUGUUCGACUUUUAGAAUCUUACAUGAUUUGAGUUCAAAUCGACGUGAGU